rnacentral:lncRNA from 1 species
AAGCAUCAUGAAGAAUCAUCUAUCAUGGAUUUUAGAUGCGGUGAUCUACUACCUGCACUCAGGUAUGAAGUUUUGUAUUCAAUUAAUAUUUAGAUAUGAUCUAAAUAUAGAUUAGAUAUGUCAUGUACUUGCAGAAUUUUAUAUUUCAGAUGUGCAUACAUGCAUAUUAGUUCAUAUCAUAGAUCUUAUAUGGUGAUUUAGAUUUGAUCUAUGUAUGCAUUAUAGAUUAAAUUAUUUAAUCUAUAUAUGUUCUACUGUAAAAUUUUUAAAAAUACAUGCACAUCACCCACCAUGCUUCCCUUCACCAUCCA